AUUGAACGCUGGCGGCAUGCCUUACACAUGCAAGUCGAACGGCAGCAUGAUCUAGCUUGCUCGAUUGAUGGCGAGUGGCGAACGGGUGAGUCAUACAUCGGACCGUGCCCUGUAGUGGGGGAUAACUAGUCGAAAGAUUAGCUAAUACCGCAUACGACCUGAGGGUGAAAGUGGGGGACCGCAAGGCCUCUUGCUAUAGGAGCGGCCGAUGUCUGAUUAGCUAGUUGGUGAGGUAAAGGCUCACCAAGGCGACGAUCAGUAGCUGGUCUGAGAGGACGAUCAGCCACACUGGGACUGAGACACGGCCCAGACUCCUACGGGAGGCAGCAGUGGGGAAUUUUGGACAAUGGGCGAAAGCCUGAUCCAGCAAUGCCGCGUGUGUGAAGAAGGCCUUCGGGUUGUAAAGCACUUUUGUCCGGAAAGAAAUGGCUCUGGUUAAUACCUGGGGUCGAUGACGGUACCGGAAGAAUAAGGACCGGCUAACUACGUG
rnacentral:rRNA from 1 species